rnacentral:rRNA from 1 species
UUCAACUCGAAAGAUCUUUUCCUUUGUGCUGGCUUUGACCGUAUGUAAUUUUGGGACUUAAACAUGGUAGGCCUUACGGUUUACCGGUCCCAAAAACAAUAUAUCAUCCUUAUGAAAAACUUACUGAACAACUAAACAAUGAUUUUAAUAAUCUGUUUAAAACAACUUUCAACAACGGAUCUCUUGGUUCUCGCAUCGAUGAAGAACGCAGCGAAAUGCGAUACGUAAUGUGAAUUGCAGAAUUCAGUGAAUCAUCGAAUCUUUGAACGCACAUUGCACUCCUUGGUAUUCCGAGGAGUAUGCCUGUUUCAGUAUCAUGAGCACUCUCACACCUAACCUUUGGGUUAUGCUGUGGAAUUGGGAUGCGCCGAUUUUUACUAGUCGGCACUCCUAAAAUGUAGCUCUUGGCUGUUUCCUACUACAGCAGUUUGGCCUAAUAGUUUUGACUUUUGUCAAAUCUUUGGCUACAUUUGCUUCUGGAAAUCAGUCUUGAUAAUACAGAAAACUCAUUUCAANCCUUGAUCUGAAA